rnacentral:rRNA from 1 species
AGUGAACGCUGGCGGUAGGCCUAACACAUGCAAGUCGAACGGCAGCACAGUAAGAGCUUGCUCUUACGGGUGGCGAGUGGCGGACGGGUGAGGAAUACAUCGGAAUCUACUUUUUCGUGGGGGAUAACGUAGGGAAACUUACGCUAAUACCGCAUACGACCUACGGGUGAAAGCAGGGGAUCUUCGGACCUUGCGCGAUUGAAUGAGCCGAUGUCGGAUUAGCUAGUUGGCGGGGUAAAAGCCCACCAAGGCGACGAUCCGUAGCUGGUCUGAGAGGAUGAUCAGCCACGCUGGAACUGAGACACGGUCCAGACUCCUACGGGAGGCAGCAGUGGGGAAUAUUGGACAAUGGGCGCAAGCCUGAUCCAGCCAUACCGCGUGGGUGAAGAAGGCCUUCGGGUUGUAAAGCCCUUUUGUUGGGAAAGAAAAGCAGCAGGUUAAUACCCCGCUGUUCUGACGGUACCCAAAGAAUAAGCACCGGCUAACUUCGUG